AGAUAUGAUCCAGAGUACCACGGGACACGUGAAACCCUGUGGGAAGCAGGAGGGACCACCCUCCAAGGCUAAAUACUACCUAGUGACCGAUAGCGUAUAGUACCGUGAGGGAAAGGUGAACAGAACCCCGGGAGGGGAGUGAAAUAGAACCUGAAACUCUGCACUUACAAGCUGUGGAAGCACAUUUCUUGUGUGACCGCGUACUUUUUGUAGAACGGGCCAACGAGUUACGUUAAGUAGCAAGGUUA
rnacentral:rRNA from 1 species